rnacentral:lncRNA from 1 species
UUGUCGUUUCGUCCAAAUAAUUCUCGUUACUUAUUUUUAGGUUGACGAUAUAAUAAAAGAUAAGGGUUAGAGAGUUGCAAUUUUUAUCUGCUGGCAACAUAGCAAAUUUACCUGUUUUUGGUUGCAUAAAAGUAAGAUGCGGUUAGGAUUCUUCGAAUCCCCUCUAUUUAUAUUGUUGGAUAUUAAAUAACAAUCAUGUCGCGUUUAUUUAUCUUAGGUAGACUAUACAAGUGAUGAGGCUGUUGGGACGUGACUAACCUAAUAAGUUGGAAACUGCACAUGUUGAUCACACGGUGAUCCUUACGUGUGGGGUCUUACCAUCUCUAAGGUAAUUGAAAGAAUAGACUUUAUGUUGGUUUUCCAAGAUUUCCCAAGGGAAUG